UUCAGAUCCUCUAUCUACCUCUUUCUGGCCCUCUCUCUCUCUCUCAAAAAUAAAUAAACAUUAAAAAUUUUUUUAAGUUUAAGAUCAUAAAAAACAUGACUGAAGAACUGUCACAGACUGGAAGAGACUAAGAGGAUGUAGCACCUAAAUGCAAUGUGGGACCCUAAAUCGAUCACCACAUUGAUAAAGCACAUCAGUGGGAAAACUGGCAAAAUCCAAAUAAAUUCUGUACUUCAGUCAAUAGUACUAUACUAAUUUUAAUUUCUUAAGUUUUGAUCAAUUUUCUCUGGUUAAGAUAUUAACAUAAGGGGAAAGUGAGUGAAGGGCAUACAGGAACUUUCUAUGCUAUCUUUCAAAUUCUUCAGUUAGUAGCAAAUUAUCUCAAAAUAAAAAGUUAAAAAAAGAAAACUAAGUAGUAAAGGAAUGGUAUCCCUGUUGCCCGAUACUCCCAACCCUACCAUUUCCUUCAAACAAACCUAUAUUUAACAGACCUUUGAUCUUUUCACUAAUUCCAAUUUCCAAGAUUUCUUAUUACUGAGUAUAAAUUCCGUCUACUGUAAGUUUUAUGAAAAUAGGGCCUGUGUCUGCUUUUUCUCCCCAGUAUGACCCUAGCACUUAGCACAGUUCUGACACAUUGUAGAACUGAGUAUUUGUUGAAUGAAUGAACAAAUGAAUGAAUGGCAGCUGUGUGUAUUGUAUUCAUUUCUUAUUUUGGUUUUAAUAAAUUGCCACAAAUUUAGUGGUUUAAAACAACACAAAUUUAUUACCUUCCACUUACGGAGAUCAGAUGUCCAAAAUGAGUCUCACUGGACUGAAAUCAAGAUGUUAGAGAGCUAC